rnacentral:rRNA from 1 species
GACGAACGCUGGCGGCGUGCUUAACACAUGCAAGUCGAACGGUAAGGCCCUUCGGGGUACACGAGUGGCGAACGGGUGAGUAACACGUGGGUGAUCUGCUCUGCACUUCGGGAUAAGCCUGGGAAACUGGGUCUAAUACCGGAUAGGACCACUGCCUGCAUGGGUGGUGGUGGAAAGCUUUUGCGGUGUGGGAUGGGCCCGCGGCCUAUCAGCUUGUUGGUGGGGUGAUGGCCUACCAAGGCGACGACGGGUAGCCGGCCUGAGAGGGUGACCGGGCACGCUGGGACUGAGAUACGGCCCAGACUCCUACGGGAGGCAGCAGUGGGGAAUAUUGCGCAAUGGGCGCAAGCCUGAUGCAGCGACGCCGCGUGAGGGAUGACGGCCUUCGGGUUGUAAACCUCUUUCAGCACCGACGAAGCGCAAGUGACGGUAGGUGCAGAAGAAGGACCGGCCAACUACGUGCCAGCCGCCGCCGUAAAAC